rnacentral:rRNA from 1 species
GACGAGGGAUCCAAGCGUUGUUCGGAAUUAUUGGGCGUAAAGCGGGUGUAGGUUGCUUGGUAAGUCAGAUGUGAAAGCCCCGGGCUUAACCCUGGAAGUGCAUUUGAUACUGCCUUGCUUGAGUGUGGGAGAGGAUAGUAGAAUUCCUGGUGUAGUGGUGAAAUACGUAGAUAUCAGGAGGAAUACCUGAGGCGAAGGCGGCUAUCUGGCCCAACACUGACACUCAGACCCGAAAGCAUGGGGAGCAAACAGG